GCUACCAUUGAGCCACAGAUCCAAUUGUUUAUUUUAAGUGACACAGCCAAUGAUAAAUCUACGCUUUUUUGUUUUUGAUGGCAGUAUAGCUGUUUGUAAAACUCCCAUUUCGCAAUCGCCUUGGUGGAGAAGCAGCAGCGGCAAUCAUUUCUUCUCCAAGUUCAGGUGCGUUGAUGAAAUGAGCUUAAUCUUUAGAAAAAAGUCUUCAUCAAGUCUGCAAUUGUAUCGAAGUCUUUAUGUAACUUCUUUGAUUACUCAUGUUUCAGAACCAAUUCAUUCUUCAAAACCCCUAGAAAAUUUAUGUCAUAAACUUUCAAGUUCUAGGGUUUUAUCAAGAAGUAGUCGUUUAUGUUUUUCUACGCAGACAAGUAACAAGUUUCCUGAAUAUGAAAUGCCAACAGUAACAUGGGGUGUAGUACAAGGAAGAAAAGAAAAGCUGGUAUCUAGAGUUAUUAUUUGUGAUUAUCUAAAAGGUUUAGGUAUAAUACCUGAUGAAUUAGAGGAUCUAGAAUUACCAUCAACAAUUGAAGUAAUGAAAGAACGAGUUGAAUUCCUUCAAAAGAUUGGAUUAACUAUCGAUGAUAUAAAUGAUUAUCCAUUAAUGUUAGGAUGUAGUGUUAGAAAAAAUAUUAUACCUGUUUUAGGUUAUUUAGAAAAAGUUGGAAUUUCUAGACCGAAAUUGGGAGAGUUUAUUAAGAGUUAUCCUCAAGUUCUUCAUGCUAGUGUCGUUGUUGAGCUUGUUCCGGUGAUUAAAUUUCUUCGUGGUAUAGAUAUUGAAAGACAAGAUAUUGGUUAUGUAUUGAUGAAAUAUCCUGAGAUUUUAGGGUUUAAGCUUGAAGGAACAAUGAGUACUUCUGUUGGUUAUUUGGUUAGUAUUGGUGUGAAUCCUAGAGAUAUUGGACCAAUGGUAACUCAAUUUCCUUAUCUUUUAGGAAUGAGAGUUGGUACUAGGAUUAAACCGACUGUUGAUUACUUGGUAUCAUUAGGCAUUCCGAAAAAGAUUCUGGCUAGGAUGCUUGAAAAACGGCCUAAUGUUCUUGGGUAUGAUCUUGAAGAGACUAUUAAACCGAAUGUGGAUUGUUUAGCUAGUUUUGGCAUACGAAGGGAGAUGCUUGCAUCAGUUAUUGCUCAAUACCCGCAGAUUCUGGGGAUUCCUUUGAAGGCUAAAUUGUCUUCGCAGCAAUAUUUUUUCAAUCUGAAGCUUAAGAUUGAUCCGGAAGGAUUUGCAAGGGUCAUUGAGAAGAUGCCACAGAUAGUUAGUCUUAACCAGACUGUAAUUUUGAGACCCAUUGAGUUCCUUCGUGCAAGGGGCAUAUUUGCAGAAGAUGUGGCAAGAAUGGUUAUCAAAUGCCCACAGUUGGUUGCUCUUCAAGUUGAGUCCAUGAAGAACAGUUUUCACUUCCUCAAGUGUGAAAUGAAGCGAGCGUUCGAAGAGGUUAUAGAGUUCCCUGAAUACUUCACAUAUAGCUUGGAUUCAAGAAUAAAACCUAGAUAUCAGAGGUUUGCGAAUAAAGGGAUUAGAUGUAGUUUGGCAUGGUUUCUUAACUGUAGCAAUCAGAGAUUUGAAGAGAGGUUACAAGCUGAUUAUAUUGAGGUAGAAAGUGAAGGGCCUUCAUUUUUUAUGGGAGGGAAGUUAGAUUUACCAGGGGGUGAACUUGUCUCUGACGAGGAUGAAGAUGAGAGUGACGGUGAAGUUCUCUGUAGACGUACUGUUUCCUUGUAACUUUAUGCAAUUUUGUCUAUCUUCUUUUCAAACACAAAUUAUUGCUCGUCUUUAACCAAUUGGUCCCUUCAGCAUCUUCAAGCCCGGAGCAAAUUAGUCCCUUUCAUUGUCUUUAAAUUUCAUUCUGUUUUGUGUAACCUUAGAGGAUAAGGGAGACUAUAGUGCAGGUAGUGGUGUCGAGCAGUGUCAAACACGAGAGCCAUUGCCGAUACAUAUCGACGCUGCGAAGCUAUGUAAAUGCAGUACUCUUGUUACAGCGACCAAAUAUUACUUUCUUUAUUUCUUAAUAAACUGAUGCGACGAAACAUGACGAGAUUUGGAGGCUUGUGAUAAAUGAUAUCCAUGGAAAGUCACAAGUCAUAAAUUGCCGACUGGGGUACUGUCUUAAAAGUUCUACUCAACAGAAGGAUGCCAUGAUUGAAGGGGAGAGAAUCCAAACUGACAUCUUCAACAAUUUCAGAAUACCAUGAAGUCUUAGGCAAGGAACCAAAGACGGUAAUAGGGCUAUGCUGCAAGCCUUCUCGUUUUCGUUGACAGACUUAGCAGAAGAAUGGUUAUUACCUUCCUUGGAGUGUUUCAACGAGAUGAAAACGCUAUUUCUGAAGAAAUACUUUCCUGCUUCCAAAGCAACAUCCGUUCAGAGAGAUAUAAGAGGUUGUUGGCAAGCUGUCCACACCACAAUAUAUCUCCAACAUUAAUCAUUCAAUAUUUUUACGAAGGAUUACUUCCGGAACAAACAAA